rnacentral:rRNA from 1 species
CGUAGGUGGCAAGCGUUGUCCGGAUUUACUGGGCGUAAAGAGCGCGCAGGCGGUCGUUCAAGUCGCGUGUGAAAGCCCCCGGCUCAACUGGGGAGGGUCACGCGAUACUGGUCGACUCGAAGGCAGGAGAGGGUAGUGGAAUUCCCGGUGUAGUGGUGAAAUGCGUAGAUAUCGGGAGGAACACCAGUGGCGAAGGCGACUACCUGGCCUGUUUCUUGACGCUGAGGCGCGAAAGCUAGGGGAGCAAACGGGAUUAGAUACCCCGGUAGUCCUAGCCGUAAACGAUGGACACUAGGUGUUGGUGGUAUCAACCCCGCCAGUGCCGAAGCUAACGCAUUAAGUGUCCCGCCUGGGGAGUACGGCCGCAAGGCUA